rnacentral:sRNA from 1 species
GUGGCUGGUGGUUUAUAAUUCCUUCGCAGUGCUCUCAACAAUGCUGAGUAACGCUUUCACUGGCUGACCAUUUACUCCUAGCAAGGCAACGAAUCUUUCCCUGCUGGUGGUGAUCGAGCUCUUUUGCCCUAGUGGCCUAAUAGGUUAUGAGCCCGUGUAAGCGCGACUGCUACAGGGUGUGCCAACAUGCUAUCACAGGUUCGAAUCAGACCAAGGCCAGAAGAAUAUCCCUUACUAAUGCACAUUCUCUUACCAAGAUGGAGGAGAUUGGUGGUUAGGCACCCAGGAAGACCCCAGGCCACCAAAGACCAAUGGCAGUAGGGUAGUGGAACUUAGGAAGAGCCAGGUUCCCCCAGCUGGCCGGAUGGUAGAGUGGGUCCGAGGGGGGGUGUUGGGGGGAUUGGAUUGGGUGAUUCGUACCCUCUAUACCACCACAGCGCUG